UACGUAGGGUGCAAGCGUUAAUCGGAAUUACUGGGCGUAAAGCGUGCGCAGGCGGUCGUGCAAGACAGAUGUGAAAUCCCCGGGCUUAACCUGGGAACUACAUUUGUGACUGCACGGCUGGAGUGCGGCAGAGGGGGAUGGAAUUCCGCGUGUAGCAGUGAAAUGCGUAGAUAUCUGGAGGAACACCGGUGGCGAAGGCGGCAUCCUGGACCGACACUGACGCUGAGGAGCGAAAGCCAGGGGAGCAAACGGG
rnacentral:rRNA from 1 species